rnacentral:rRNA from 1 species
UACGAAGGGGGCUAGCGUUGCUCGGAAUCACUGGGCGUAAAGGGUGCGUAGGCGGGUCUUUAAGUCAGGGGUGAAAUCCUGGAGCUCAACUCCAGAACUGCCUUUGAUACUGAAGAUCUUGAGUUCGGGAGAGGUGAGUGGAACUGCGAGUGUAGAGGUGAAAUUCGUAGAUAUUCGCAAGAACACCAGUGGCGAAGGCGGCUCACUGGCCCGAUACUGACGCUGAGGCACGAAAGCGUGGGGAGCAACAGG